ensembl:snoRNA SNORD58 Small nucleolar RNA SNORD58
CUGCAGUGAUGACUAUCUUAGGACACCUUUGGAGUAACCAUGAAAAAAAAAAAAGAACUAACUGAGCGGC